rnacentral:rRNA from 1 species
CCUACGGGGGGCAGCAGUGGGGAAUAUUGCGCAAUGGGCGAAAGCCUGACGCAGCGACGCCGCGUGAGGGAUGAAGGUCUUCGGAUCGUAAACCUCUGUCAGCAGGGAAGAACGGUCACUGUGCUAAUCAGCAGUGAAUUGACGGUACCUGCAAAGGAAGCACCGGCUAACUCCGUGCCAGCAGCCGCGGUAAUACGGAGGGUGCGAGCGUUAAUCGGAAUUACUGGGCGUAAAGCGCGCGUAGGCGGUAGGUCAAGUCAAGGGUGAAAUCCCCGGGCUCAACGUGGGAACUGCCUUUGAAACUGGCAAACUGGAGUGUGGGAGAGGAUGGUGGAAUUCCAGGUGUAGGAGUGAAAUCCGUAGAUAUCUGGAGGAACAUCAGUGGCGAAGGCGACUAUCUGGAACAUAACUGACGCUGAGGAGCGAAAGCGUGGGUAGCAAACAGGAUUAGAUACCCGAGUAGUC